rnacentral:rRNA from 1 species
AGAGUUUGAUCCUGGCUCAGAACGAACGCUGGCGGCGUGGAUAAGACGUGCAAGUCGAGCGCUAAUCACAAGGUAGCAAUAUUUUGUGGUUGGAGCGGCGCAAGGGUGCGUAACACGUGGGUAAUCUGCCAUGAAGUUUGGGAUAACUUGCUGAAAGGCGAGCUAAUACCGGAUGUGAAAAUUGGGAGGCAUCUUUCGAUUGUCAAAGCUGGGGACCGUAAGGCCUGGCGCUUCAUGAUGAGCCCGCGGCCUAUCAGCUAGUUGGUGAGGUAACGGCUCACCAAGGCUAAGACGGGUAGCUGGUCUGAGAGGACGACCAGCCACACUGGAACUGAGACACGGUCCAGACACCUACGGGUGGCAGCAGUCGAGAAUUUUUCACAAUGGGCGCAAGCCUGAUGGAGCGACGCCGCGUGGGGGAUGAAUGGCUUCGGCCCGUAAACCCCUGUCAUUUGCGAACAAGUUGGUUCAAUUAACACCUGAACCAUUGAUAGUAGCGAAAGAGGAAGGGACGGCUAACUCUGUGCCAGCAGCCGCGGUAAUACAGAGGUCCCAAGCGUUGUUCGGAUUCACUGGGCGUAAAGGGUGCGUAGGUGGCGGGGUAAGUCGGAUGUGAAAUCUCCGAGCUCAACUCGGAAAUGGCAUUGGAAACUACCUUGCUCGAGGGUUGGAGGGGGGACUGGAAUACUUGGUGUAGCAGUGAAAUGCGUAGAUAUCAAGUGGAACACCAGUGGCGAAGGCGAGUCCCUGGACAACUCCUGACACUGAGGCACGAAAGCUAGGGGAGCAAACAGGAUUAGAUACCCUAGUAGUCC